GUUCCUCGUGCAAAUUCUGUUUGUGGUGGUCAGCAACUGUAUCUGAUAGCAGACUGCAUGUUACCUGACAGUUAUAAACAGAGACAUGAAGGAAGACAACAGUGUCAACAAUCCUGUUAUUUAUUGCCUUUUAUCUGGAAUGGUGCAAACAACAACAGAAUUAGGAAGGCAUGUGCAUGCAGGCCUCACCAUGUGAAGGAUCCUCAGCAAAACUCCAAACCACACAGAGAAAAUUCACUUGGCUCCAUGUUGCAUAGGAAACCUGAAUCACAGGUCACUGAUGAAGAGAGAGGAGAAAAGUGAUUGAAAAACACAUUCAGAAGCUGUCUACUCUUUCUAAGAACUGCAGCAACAUUACAGAGAGAGUAAGUGAUAUUCUUGGAUGAACAAUUUGAUCAGAGAAUAACAGUAAUGUUUUUCACAUUGACUCCUGUUCUUUAAUUUUAUUACAUGGGAUUAAAAAAAAAGAUUUUUGGAAGCAAACCGAGACAAUACAAAUAUGAAUGUUUUCAUCCUUGUGUCAUAUUAUACUAAAAACAAACCACAUGUUUUCUCCAAGAAUCAGAAUCAAGCAUGGACAUUUUUUCUUCUGAGUAUGGAAAUACUUUUGUCACACAGCCCCUCCCAUUCUGCUAUUAGCUAUAUUCACUGUAGUCUAUGAUUAAUGAGGCCUUGUGAUACCCAUUUUAACAAGGAAACAGGCCUGAGUAGGCUGUGAGGCUGUAUGUCAGUGAAGGUGAGAACUAGGGAAUCUUUGUUCAUGGCUUCCUCUAAAUAUUGACAGCAUCUUCCUGACUAGAGCUUGAUUUAGGAGGCUUUUUUUUUUUUUUCCCACAAAGGUGGCUCAAAUGAUUAAUGUAAGAUGGAAAUGAAUUGCUGAACCUUUACAGUAAGAAAUCUAAGAUUUUGAUUUUUCUUGCCUUAUUCCCUGGUUUAGGAUUAAUAUUUUAACCAUUUGAAUAACUUUGUUGCUUUUUAUCAAAAGAAUGAUUCAUUCAUUUUGAGAUGGAUCUGGUGAGUGCAUUUC
rnacentral:lncRNA from 1 species